AAAAGAACUUUGGAGAGAGAGUCAAACAGUACGUGAAACCGUCAGGAGGGAAACGAACGAGGUUGGUGCAGUGAUCACGCAGGUUCAAGCAGCACCGAAGGUGCCGACACGGUGGCAGAGAUUGUCUCGUGUCGUCCACCAGAGGUGGUGCCGUACUCCUCGUGAGCACGGACCAGCGGCGGUUGGACCGGAGCCACAAGGCGGCAGCGGAAGGUGAGUUGACGUGGGCCUGUCUCGCGUUGACAGCUUACAGCCCUAGUCGUACGGCGCUCCGGCCCGACCGAGGAAGCAGGGCAGCCCUUGCCCGUGGCGGUGCACGCCGAAUGGCGGGGCCUCCCGACAGGAGUGAAGCGUGCGGUGUGGAGUGCUUGCAGUGCAUGCCGUGGCGGUGAUCUCGUGUUGGAGAGUGCCACCUGUGCACCAGUGCUGCUGGUAUUCAGACGGCCUCGUCCGACCCGUCUUG
rnacentral:sRNA from 1 species